UGCUACAGAUGACGACCGGCGCACGGGUGAGUAACGCGUAUGCAACCUGCCUUUGACAGGGGGAUAGCCCGGAGAAAUCCGGAUUAAUAUCCCAUGGUAUUUACGAAUCGCAUGGUUUGUAAAUUAAAGAUUUUAUCGGUCAAAGAUGGGCAUGCGUGACAUUAGCUAGUUGGUAAGGUAACGGCUUACCAAGGCUGCGAUGUCUAGGGGUUCUGAGAGGAUGAUCCCCCACACUGGUACUGAGACACGGACCAGACUCCUACGGGAGGCAGCAGUGAGGAAUAUUGGUCAAUGGGCGCAAGCCUGAACCAGCCAUCCCGCGUGAAGGAAGACUGCCCUAUGGGUUGUAAACUUCUUUUCUGCACCAAGAAUGGUUACUACGUGUAGUGAUUUGACGGUAGUGCAGGAAUAAGCAUCGGCUAACUCCGUGCCAGCAGCCGCGGUAAUACGGAGGAUGCAAGCGUUAUCCGGAUUCAUUGGGUUUAAAGGGUACGUAGGUGGCCAAUUAAGUCAGUGGUGAAAUCCUGCCGCUUAACGGUAGAACUGCCAUUGAAACUGGUUGGCUUGAGUACAGUUGAGGUAGGCGGAAUGUGUAGUGUAGCGGUGAAAUGCUUAGAUAUUACACAGAACCCCGAUUGCGAAGGCAGCUUACUAAACUGUAACUGACACUGAGGUACGAAAGCGUGGGGAGCGAACAGGAUUAGAUACCCUGGUAGUCCACGCUGUAAACGAUGCUCACUCGCUGUAUGCGAUACAUUG
rnacentral:rRNA from 1 species